rnacentral:rRNA from 1 species
AGUGAACGCUGGCGGUAGGCCUAACACAUGCAAGUCGAACGGCAGCACAGUAAGAGCUUGCUCUUACGGGUGGCGAGUGGCGGACGGGUGAGGAAUACAUCGGAAUCUACUUUUUCGUGGGGGAUAACGUAGGGAAACUUACGCUAAUACCGCAUACGACCUACGGGUGAAAGCAGGGGAUCUUCGGACCUUGCGCGAUUGAAUGAGCCGAUGUCGGAUUAGCUAGUUGGCGGGGUAAAGGCCCACCAAGGCGACGAUCCGUAGCUGGUCUGAGAGGAUGAUCACACACACGGGAACAGAGACGGUGCACAGACCCACGGGGGGGGCAGGAGUGGAGAAUAGGGGACAGGGGGCGAAAGUCUGCUCCAGCCAUACCGCGGGGGAAAAAAGGCCUUUGGUGUUGAAAACCCCUUUUGUGGAGAAAAAAAAGCAGCAGGUUAAUCCCCCGGUUUUCGGACGAUACAAAAAAAAUAAACACCGGAAAACUUC